AACGUACGCUGGCGGCACGCUUAACACAUGCAAGUCGAACGAAGUAGCAAUACUUAGUGGCAGACGGGUGAGUAACAUGUGGGUAUCUGCCCUUUGGCCUGGAAUAACACGAGGAAACUUGUGCUAAUACCGGAUAAGUCUUUACGGAGAAAGCUUUAUGCACCAUUGGAUGAGCCCGCACUUGAUUAGUUUGUUGGUGGGGUAAUGGCCUACCAAGACUGUGAUCAAUAGCUGAUUUGAGAGGAUGAUCAGCCACAUUGGGACUGAGACACGGCCCAAACUCCUACGGGAGGCAGCAGUGGGGAAUCUUGCACAAUGGAGGAAACUCUGAUGCAGCGAUGCCGCGUGAGUGAAGAAGGCCCUUGGGUUGUAAAGCUCUUUCGUCGGGGAAGAAAAUGACUGUACCCGAAUAAGAAGGUCCGGCUAACUUCGUGCCAGCAGCCGCGGUAAUACGAAGGGACCUAGCGUAGUUCGGAAUUACUGGGCUUAAAGAGUUCGUAGGUGGUUGAAAAAGUUAGUGGUGAAAUCCCAGAGCUUAACUCUGGAACUGCCAUUAAAACUUUUCAGCUAGAGUAUGAUAGAGGAAAGCAGAAUUUCUAGUGUAGAGGUGAAAUUCGUAGAUAUUAGAAAGAAUACCAAUUGCGAAGGCAGCUUUCUGGAUCAUUACUGACACUGAGGAACGAAAGCAUGGGUAGCGAAGAGGAUUAGAUACCCUCGUAGUCCAUGCCGUAAACGAUGUGUGUUAGACGUUGGAAAUUUAUUUUCAGUGUCGCAGCGAAAGCGAUAAACACACCGCCUGGGGAGUACGACCGCAAGGUUAAAACUCAAAUGAAUUGACGGGGACCCGCACAAGUAGUGGAGCAUGUGGUUUAAUUCGAAGAUACGCGCAGAACCUUACCAACACUUGACAUGUUCGUCGCGACUCUAAGAGAUUAGAGUUUUCGGUUCGGCCGGACGAAACACAGGUGCUGCAUGGCUGUCGUCAGCUCGUGUCGUGAGAUGUUGGGUUAAGUCCCGCAACGAGCGCAACCCUCACUUUUAGUUGCCAUCAUUAAGUUGGGCACUCUGAAAGAACUGCCAGUGAUAAGCUGGAGGAAGGUGGGGAUGACGUCAAGUCCUCAUGGCCCUUACGUGUUGGGCUACACACGUGCUACAAUGGUAUCUACAACAGGAAGCAAGACUGCGAGGUUAAGCAAAUCCUUAAAAGAUACCUCAGUUCGGAUUGCACUCUGCAACUCGAGUGCAUGAAGCUGGAAUUACUAGUAAUCGUGGAUCAGCGUGCCACGGUGAAUGCGUUCCCGGGUCU
rnacentral:rRNA from 1 species